CAGGAUUAGAUACCCUGGUAGUCCACGCCCUAAACGAUGCGAACUAGGUGUUGGGGAAGGAGACUUUCUUAGUACCGCAGCUAACGCGUGAAGUUCGCCGCCUGGGGAGUACGGUCGCAAGAUUAAAACUCAAAGGAAUUGACGGGGACCCGCACAAGCGGUGGAUGAUGUGGAUUAAUUCGAUGCAACGCGAAAAACCUUACCUACCCUUGACAUGUCAGGAAGUCCGCUGAGAGGUGGAUGUGCCCGAAAGGGAACCUGAACACAGGUGCUGCAUGGCUGUCGUCAGCUCGUGUCGUGAGAUGUUGGGUUAAGUCCCGCAACGAGCGCAACCCUUGUCAUUAAUUGCCAUCAUUCAGUUGGGCACUUUAAUGAGACUGCCGGUGACAAACCGGAGGAAGGUGGGGAUGACGUCAAGUCCUCAUGGCCCUUAUGGGUAGGGCUUCACACGUCAUACAAUGGUCGGUACAGAGGUCGCCAACCGCGAGGGGAGCCGAAUCCCACAAA
rnacentral:rRNA from 1 species